rnacentral:lncRNA from 1 species
AUGAGGGUUAUCUCACAGUCCCAGAUGCUGGAUAAGUUGGAGGAGGCGGAAUCACUUUUGGAUGACAUUCAGAAAGGCCUGAAUGCUUAUUGGGAGAAGAAAAGACUAUUCUUUCCAAGGUGUGUCGGUCCGGUGAUGAUCACAGACACUCCGCCAGCAUCUUGUGAGACAAAGGAUUCGCUCCUGAGCCCUGCCACACCUAAAAAAAAUGCUUUGAAGGGCUUGCCGAGCUCACUCUUAAUCAUGGGAGAGAAAUUACCCACAUGGAGUCAGCAGAAAAUGAAAAAGUGGGCCUCGUGCUGAGAUAAUUCCAGCAAGUGCCAAGGGGCUAGUUGAGAUAUGGCUUCAUGAGGUGAAUAUCUUUAGCUCUUACUUAGGGUUUAGUUACUGUAUAAUCAUUCUCUCUUUUAGGAGCAAUGAAUAUCCCAAGUGUGUUUCCUAACCAAAGCUCUGUCUCUUUCCAAGCAUCUCUCGGGAUAGUGACUGAUUCCGUAGGAAAUGGAGGUUCUGGGGCCCUGUUGUGGUUUUCUUCUACUCAGGACAAGUUGUAAAGAAGCAGAAUCUCAUUCAGCGACAACCCCAAGCCAGUGACUGCCACUGUCUGUGUGUAUUUGUCUAUCUGUUUGAGUAUCUGUCUAGUACUUGGUGUCUCCGUGUGUAUGUAUGUAUCUUUGUUCAUGUCCUUGUCCCCUCCUUAGGGAAAUAUCUUGGGCGGAUUAGAUAGCAGGUGGGUUUUGUCUGACCUGGAGUGGAGGAGUGGUUGGGGAAGGACCAAAGGUGUGAUUUUUUUUUGGGGGGGGGAGAAAGAGAAAAGAUGCAUGUCACCUUGAUAAUUAAUGACCAAUCUUAAUUUCCAGUCCGUGUUAAAGGACAGAGGGGGGCCAUCCCCUGAGGACACUAACCUGCCCCACCUUCCCUUUGGGGGGAUCAUAAUUCCAAUUAAACAUCAGUUUCAGUGUGAAAUUGGUUUGACUGCCUGUCUUUUGUUUGCCUGCUUUAACCCCUUUGUGCCUGUGCUCAUUUAGAAGCCCCCUUGAACUCCGUUCCAGUCCGAGGCCCAGGGUCAUCCCUAGCGGCCUGCAGCCUGUCUUCUGUUUCUUUUUUCUUAUUCUAAUGGAUAGGUCUGGGAUCAGAGUUUUUCUUUCACUUUCUAUUAUUAAACCCUCUUCCCAGGCCCUUGAUUCUGUGUCUACUUUUCUCAAAAG